GAGAGAGAGAGAGAGAGAGAGAGAGAGAGAGAGGGCCGUGAAUGUCUAGAGAAGGAAAGACGUGAAGAUUUCAUGAUUCUCGCCUGCUGCGGUGAGUCCCUACAGCUGAGAUCGGGCCUCCUUGUUCCGGGGUUCGUUGCUUCAAAUUAGCGAACCACGCACUAGGACGGCGCCGUUGCCAUUUCCUCUCGAGUCCCUCCAACGACGACGUUCUCUGAAUUUCCUACGGCGAUUCGUUUCUUCUUCCCGAGCCUCACACCAACGAAACCUCUAGGGUUUUUUCCCCUUAGAAUUGUGGUUCCGUUUGCAUCGCGUAGAUCUGAUCGGCCAGAAGGAGAGAGGACGACGAUGGAUCGAGAUAGGACAGCGGAGGGCAAGCAAUCCCUGGAGGACCACUUCAGGACGUUGACGAUGGAUCGAGAUUGGACAGCGGAGGGCAAGCAAUCCCUGGAGGACCACUUCAGGACGUUGACGAUGGAUCGAGAUUGGACAGCGGAGGGCAAGCAAUUCCUGGAGGACUACUUCAGGACGUUCGAGGGGAACCCGGCGGAUUUGGUGAACCUGUACGGGGAAGACGCGGUGAUGAAUAUCGAGGGCGAGAAAAUCCAGGGCAAGGAGGCUAUGCUCGCCAAACUCACCUCCCUUCGGCAGUUGCGGCUCCAAGCCCUCAACAUGGGCUGCCUGCCCGUCAGCCGCACCGACCUCAGCAGCGGCUUUUACGGCUUGGUCUGCGGCUACCUCUGGCUGGAGGGCAACAAGGUUCCCCGCUUUUUCUCCCAGACGUUCUUUUUGCAGCCAACACCAGAAGGGAGCUUUGCUAUAUCGAACAGCAUUUUCGCGCAUACUUUCAUGGAACCCUGUGGGCCCAGGAACGUGGGUUCAUUGACGAUGCCUUUUCCCUUGCCCUAGGAGGCCACGGUUCGUGUUAUUUUGGUUGCGAUGUUCAUUUUGCGUUGGCGUUAUUGAUCGAGGUUUUGUCCAUACCGCGGAGGACAACCUUGGCGACGAGCGUUUUCAUGCCUGGGAUACCGAGACGUUUCAGUCUGUUUUAGUUUCAAUUUUCAAUUGCAGUUUCUUCUUUUGUGUACAAUGGUUGGUUCUCCCACCUUACUGAUUUUCUUGUAUGCCACGCUAUCGCCAGCAUGCAAGAGAGACUGGAUCGGCAGUGCCAUGUGAGCAAAAUGUUUUUUUUUUUGGGUAAAGGUAAGAAUAUAUUGAGCUAUAACCAACUAUACAAAAGAUCAAGUAAGAAUGAGUAGAAGGGAGCCAAAGUAAAACAAAGCCAGCUGCAAACAAGGCGGCAAGCAAAGACAGAAGCAAGAAACAACCUAAACAACAGGCCCAAAGAACAGCAAGGACCGACCAAAAUAGCAAGGUCCCGCGAACAACCGCAGCAAUUCCGCAUACACCAAGCAAAAGUAGCCAGCAGUCGAGCGGAGGAGCUAACCAGCAGCACAAGCCAACCAUGAUCGAGGCCACGAAUCAGCUAAGUACUGCAGGAGGUAUUCCUCGAGGGUUGAGAAGAGCUACGCCGGCACUAGACGAGCCGCGGCACCAAAGAUCAGCUACAGCGAUGUAGCAGUUCCGUCUCCACAGAUGAGAAAAUAAUCAGAUCAAUGCCUUAGUUGUGCUGCAAUCUCCUAUU